rnacentral:rRNA from 1 species
UACAUGGGGUGCAAACGUUGCUCGGAAUUAUUGGGCGUAAAGCGCACGUAGGCGGUUCGUUAAGUCGGAUGUGAAAGCCCUCGGCUCAACUGAGGAAGUGCACCCGAAACUGGCGAGCUUGAGUACGAAAGAGGAUCGCGGAAUUCCCGGUGUAGAGGUGAAAUUCGUAGAUAUCGGGAGGAACACCGGUGGCGAAGGCGGCGAUCUGGGUCGAUACUGACGCUGAGGUGCGAAAGCGUGGGGAGCAACAGG